AGCAGCCGCGGUAAUUCCAGCUCCAAUAGCGUAUAUUAAAGUUGUUGCAGUUAAAAAGCUCGUAGUUGAAUUUCGGGAUCAGUAGGUCGGUCGUGCCACUGGUAUGAACUGGUCUCACUGGUUCCUCCCUCUUGACGAACUGCAAUGCUAUUAAUUUAGUGUAGUAGGAAAUCAGGACUGUUACUUUGAAAAAAUUAGAGUGUUUAAAGCAGGCUUUAGCUUGAAUACAUUAGCAUGGAAUAAUGAAAUAGGACGUUCGAUCCUAUUUUGUUGGCUUCUAGGAUUGACGUAAUGAUUAAUAGGGACAGUUGGGGGCAUUAGUAUUCAAUUGUCAGAGGUGAAAUUCUUGGAUUUAUUGAAGACUAACUACUGUCGAAAGCAUUUGCCAAGGAUGUUUUCAUUAAUCAAGAACGAAAGUUAGGGGAUCGAAGACGAUCAGAUACCGUCGUAGUCUUAACCAUAAACUAUGCCGACUAGGGAUCGGAUGAUGUUAAUUUUUAAUGACUCGAUUC
rnacentral:rRNA from 1 species